GUAGUAUUAGCCGUAAACGAUGGAUACUAGGCGUGGUUUGUAUCGACCCAAGCCGUGCCGAAGCUAACGCGUUAAGUAUCCCGCCUGGGGAGUACGCACGCAAGUGUGAAACUCAAAGGAAUUGACGGGGGCCCGCACAAGCGGUGGAGGAUGUGGUUUAAUUCGAUGCAACGCGAAGAACCUUACCAGGGCUUGACAUCCCGCGAAUCUUGCCGAAAGGCGAGAGUGCCUUCGGGAACGCGGAGACAGGUGGUGCAUGGCUGUCGUCAGCUCGUGUCGUGAGAUGUUGGGUUAAGUCCCGCAACGAGCGCAACCCUCGUCCUUAGUUGCCAGCAUUAAGUUGGGAACUCUAGGGAGACUGCCGGUGACAAACCGGAGGAAGGUGAGGAUGACGUCAAGUCAGCAUGCCCCUUAUGCUCUGGGCGACACACGUCCUACAAUGGUCGGGACAAAGGGAAGCGAACUCGCAAGAGCCAGCAAAUCCCAUCAAACUCGGCCUCAGUUCAGAUAGCAGGCUGCAACUCUGCCUGCUUGAAGGAGGAAUCGC
rnacentral:rRNA from 1 species